CACUGUUUGGACUAGGGGCCCUUCUCGGGUUACCGAAUUCAGAUAAACUCCGAAUGCCAUGUACUUAUACUCGGGAGUCAGACUGCGAGUGAUAAGAUCCGUAGUCGAAAGGGAAACAGCCCAGACCACCAGUUAAGGUCCCCAAAUAUAUGUUAAGUGGAAAAGGAUGUGGGGUUGCUUAGACAACCAGGAUGUUGGCUUAGAAGCAGCCACCAUUGAAAGAGUGCGUAAUAGCUCACUGGUCGAGUGACCCCGCGCCGAAAAUGUACCGGGGCUAAACAUAUUACCGAAACUGUGGAUGAACCUCUUUAGAGGUUCGUGGUAGGAGAGCGUUCUAAGGGCGGUGAAGUCAGACCGGAAGGACUGGUGGAGCGCUUAGAAGUGAGAAUGCCGGUAUGAGUAGCGAAAGAAGGGUGAGAAUCCCUUCCACCGAAUAUCUAAGGUUUCCUGAGGAAGGCUCGUCCGCUCAGGGUUAGUCGGGACCUAAGCCGAGGCCGAUAGGCGUAGGCGAUGGACAACAGGUAGAGAUUCCUGUACCAGUGCUAAUUGUUUAACCG
rnacentral:rRNA from 1 species